rnacentral:siRNA from 1 species
GGGCUUCCUGAUGGGCUUCG